UACGAGGGGUCCAAGCGUUGUUCGGAAUCACUGGGCGUAAAGCGGGUGUAGGUGGCUAAGCAAGUCACAUGUGAAAGCCCUGGGCUCAACCCAGGAAGUGCAUGUGAUACUACUUAGCUUGAGUACGGGAGAGGAAAGCAGAAUUUCUGGUGUAGUGGUGAAAUACGUAGAUAUCAGAAGGAAUAUCGGAGGCGAAGGCGGCUUUCUGGCCCAGUACUGACACUCAGACCCGAAAGCAUGGGUAGCAAACAGG
rnacentral:rRNA from 1 species